UGGGGAAUAUUGCACAAUGGGGGAAACCCUGAUGCAGCGACGCCGCGUGAACGAAGAAGGUAUUCGUAUCGUAAAGUUCUGUCCUAUGGGAAGAUAAUGACAGUACCAUAGAAGAAAGCUCCGGCUAAAUACGUGCCAGCAGCCGCGGUAAUACGUAGGGCGCAAGCGUUAUCCGGAAUUAUUGGGCGUAAAGAGCUUGUAGGCGGUUCGUCGCGUCUGGUGUGAAAGCCCAUCGCUUAACGGUGGGUUUGCGCCGGGUACGGGCGGGCUAGAGUGCAGAAGAGGAGACUGGAAUUCUCGGUGUAACGGUGGAGUGUGUAGAUAUCGGGAAGAACACCAAUGGCGAAGGCAGGUCUCUGGGCUGUUACUGACGCUGAGAAGCGAAAGCGUGGGGAGCGAACAGG
rnacentral:rRNA from 1 species